UACGUAGGGGGCAAGCGUUGUCCGGAAUCAUUGGGCGUAAAGCGCGUGUAGGCGGUUCGGUAAGUCGGCUGUGAAAGUCCAGGGCUCAACCCUGGGAUGCCGGUCGAUACUGCCGGACUAGAGUUCGGAAGAGGCGAGUGGAAUUCCCGGUGUAGCGGUGGAAAUGCGCAGAUAUCGGGAGGAACACCAAUGGCGAAGGCAGCUCGCUGGGACGUUACUGACGCUGAGACGCGAAAGCGUGGGGAGCAAACAGG
rnacentral:rRNA from 1 species